rnacentral:rRNA from 1 species
GACGAACGCUGGCGGCGCGCUUAACACAUGCAAGUCGAACGGAAAGGCCUGCUUUCCCUUGUGGAUUGCGGGUACUCGAGUGGCGAACGGGUGAGUAACACGUGAGUGAUCUGCCCCCAACUUGGGUAUAAGCCUGGGAAACUGGGUCUAAUUCCCGAUAGGACUGCAGGGUGGUGCCUGUGGUGGAAAACGAUUUUCUAGUGGUUGGGGAUGAGCUCGCGGCCUAUCAGCUUGUUGGUGGGGUAAUGGCCUACCAAGGCGGCGACGGGUAGCCGGGCUGGGAGGGUGGACGGCCACAUUGGGACUGAGAUACGGCCCAGACUCCUACGGGGGGCAGCAGUGGGGAAUAUUGCACGAUGGGCGGAAGCCUGAUGCAGCGACGCCGCGUGGGGGAUGGCGGCCUUCGGGUUGUAAACUCCUUUCGACCGCGAGGAAGCCACCUGGUUGGAAGGGUGGUGACGGUAGUGGUAGAAGAAGCACCGGCUAACUACGUG